GAUGAACGCUGGCGGCGUGCCUAAUACAUGCAAGUCGAGCGAACAGACGAGGAGCUUGCUCCUCUGACGUUAGCGGCGGACGGGUGAGUAACACGUGGAUAACCUACCUAUAAGACUGGGAUAACUUCGGGAAACCGGAGCUAAUACCGGAUAAUAUAUUGAACCGCAUGGUUCAAUAGUGAAAGACGGUUUUGCUGUCACUUAUAGAUGGAUCCGCGCCGCAUUAGCUAGUUGGUAAGGUAACGGCUUACCAAGGCGACGAUGCGUAGCCGACCUGAUAGGGGAUUGGCCCACCCGGGAGUUGAGAAACGGCCAAGAACCUGAGGGGAGGCAGAGUAAGGGAAUCUUCGGAAAGGGGGGAAAGCCUGACGGAGCAACGCGGGGUGAGUGAUGAAGGUCUUCGAACCGUAAAACGUUGUUAUUAGGGAAGAACAAAUGUGUAAGUAACUAUGCAGGUCUGGAGGGAACCUAAUAAGAAAGCCCCGGUUACUUCGGU
rnacentral:rRNA from 1 species